UAGUAUCGAAUCAACGAAAUUAAUUUAAUCAAUUAAUUGAACUCGGCUCGCUUGGUGUAGUGACUGUAUAAUCGUCAAUAACAAAUGCAAUUAAAAUGUUUUGAUCAGGUUACACUUCAUUAAUUAGGUGGGUUGAUCCAUUGAAUUUUAAUGGACGAAAAUUAAAUGAAAGAUUAAUUAAACGAUCGAUAAGUUGGAUCUGAAGUAUCGAUGUCAAUAUUGAAAAUUGUAAUUCCUUCUCGGUUUUAUCGAUAAACAUGAGACAAAAUCUAAUGAAUACUUUCCAAUUGAAACGUGAAGUAAAAUCAGAAACCUUCGGCAUGAGAAAAAAUACACGUAAUGAUAAUGCAAUCUGAUAAGCUGUAAUCUGAAGCUACUGAAGACCCAGGAAUCAAUCCUUUUAUUUGAUACAUUGACUGACGAUGAGUGUUACAUGAGCCACCAGUGAUGUUCAAAGAGGGGAGUUGAAAGAAAGUAUUUUUCGAUCAAAUUUUGAAAUAAUAUUGAAAAAGAAAAAUGAAAGUAUAAUAAAUAUAGUAUAAUGGCAGUUUUGUAUAAUUAUACAUUAGAAUUCAUUUGGAUUAUAUAUUAGGAUAAUAUAGCAUCCAGAAUUAUCUAUACUAUUUAUUAUAAAAAAUUAAUAUUGUUUGUUACUAUAUAACGAGUAUAGUAAUUUGACAGUUUUCUAUGUUGGAUUAUCUGUUAAAAAAAACAUAGCACACAGGAUUAUAUAGAUUAUUACGAGAAAUAUAUUCUGUUCAAGGUAGCAUAUUCACGAUUAAAUUAGGUUUUCCCAGGGAAAAAGAUAAUGUUCCGGGUUCUUGUCCUUCCCAGUAGGUAUUCCCAGGAAAAAUAACAAUCUAGCAGAAUCUAAAUAUGUACAGUGGGUCCAAAAAGUAUUUGUACACCAUUUAAAACAAAGUACCUCGUUUAAAAUUAGACCAAAUGACUUGAGGUUUCUCGAGAAACUAUACAAAUUAAUUUACUAACAUAAGAUAUGUGCUUUUGUCGUUUUACAAAAUUACAAUUUGUUGAAAUCGUGAAAAAAAUAGUGAAGGGCAAUUUUUCAACUUUUUUAUGUGAGUGUAUAAUGAAAAUUUAAAAUAUGUCUUUCGUAGAUUCAAAUAAAUUAGGCUGUUGCCUCUCACCACUUGUGUAUAAAUGCAUACGUAAAAACAGUUUGAAUUGAUAUUUAUUUAUUAUUCAUAUUUCUUAAUUAUAUAAUAUUUAAUAAUUACAAUUUAUAUUAUUUUUCUUUUCUAAAUUACUUUUAAUAUUAAUAUGGUAUUUUCGGAAUUUUUAUUUCCUGUAUAUCACUAGGGAAGCCUAAUUUGACCGUGAGUGUAUACAGAGGAUUACUUAUUACCUACAACAACAAAAAUUAUAUUCUAUUCAAAGUGAUUUCGAAAGAAUCUUUUUAUAUAAAAGACCUUUCUUUAUUAAAUACAUGAUUAAAAAUCAAUUUGAAUACACAGUAAACCAAUUGUUAUUUUUAGGAAGUAUAUGAAUUACUAAGGAAACUAUUAUUCUAACUGGUCUUGUCAAAUCGAAAGUGUACAGGCUUUCAGAAAUCAGUUUCUCUAAGAAAUAAUUACUGCUUUGGUAGCCAGCGGCAUUAUACAUAUAUUCAAUACUAGGUGUUUUGUUUAUGUGAUCUAGAUUAGUGAAGACGAAAUAGGAAAUAGUAUGCAGAUAGGAUACUACACAUCCUAUGGCCGCAUUUCAUAUUUUUCGCACUAGA